rnacentral:rRNA from 1 species
GACGUAGGGGGCCAGCGUUGUUCGGAAUUACUGGGUGUAAAGGGUUCGUAGGCGGUGUGGCAAGUCGGGCGUGAAAUCUCUGGGCUUAACCGGGGAACUGCGUCUGAUACUGGAUGGCUAGAGGUUGGGAGAGGGAUGCGGAAUUCCAGGUGUAGCGGUGAAAUGCGUAGAUAUCUGGAGGAACACCGGUGGCGAAGGCGGCAUCCUGGACCAAUUCUGACGCUGAGGAGCGAAAGCCAGGGGAGCAAACGGG